AUAUAGGCCCUGUGCGACUGAAUACCGUGAACCAUGUCAGGCGGGGAACCGAGCAGCAUUAAGCGGCUUUUUCGGUGUGCCGCAGGUAAACCUAUAUGCU
rnacentral:SRP_RNA from 1 species